AGCCGAUAAUAUUUCCACACCCACUCGCGCGUUAUAUUCCACUCGGGGCCAUUGUGCGACGCACAAAAAAAAAAACAACUGUGCAGCAGAACGACUUCGGUGCGGAGCUGUAGGACACAAUACCCGAUGUUUUUAACACCCUGUUCAAAUACACGAUGUUGUCAAUCCACGUCCCCCCUCCUUUCAUCACUAUACCUUUUAUGUGCCGGGUUGACAAUUACCCGUCAGCUGCCACGGAAGCGCCCCUUUUUAUUGUGUACC